GAUAAUAUAAAUACUCCAAAGACACCAGAUCUCAUCUGAUCUUGGAAGCUAAACAGGUUUAGUUCUGGUUAGUAUUUGGGUAGGACACCAUCAAAUAAUACCAGAGGAUGUAGGCU
rnacentral:rRNA from 1 species